rnacentral:rRNA from 1 species
AGAGUUUGAUUCUGGCUCAGAACGAACGUUAGCGGCGCGCCUAACACAUGCAAGUCGCACGAGAAAGGGCUUCGGCCCCGGUACAGUGGCGCACGGGUGAGUAACACGUAGAUAAUCUUCCCUCGGGUGGUGGAUAACUCUCCAAAAGGAGAGCUAAUACAGCAUGAGACCACGGCUCCCCUGGAGCUGCGGCCAAAGCAGGCCUCUAUACAUAAGCUUGCGCCUGAGGAUGAGUCUGCGGCCCAUCAGCUAGUUGGUAGGGUAAUGGCCUACCAAGGCUAAGACGGGAAGCUGGUCUGAGAGGAUGAACAGCCACACUGGAACUGAGACACGGUCCAGACUCCUACGGGAGGCAGCAGUGGGAAUCUUGCGCAAUGGGCGAAAGCCUGACGCAGCGACGCCGCGUGAGCGAUGAAGGCCUUCGGGUUGUAAAGCUCUGUGGGGAGGAAAGAAUAAGGGUUGGCUAAUAUCCAACUUGAUGACGGUACCUCCUUAGCAAGCACCGGCUAACUCUGUGCCAGCAGCCGCGGUAAGACAGAGGGUGCAAACGUUGUUCGGAAUACUGGGCGUAAAGCGCGUGUAGGCGGCUCUGUAAGUCGGAUGUGAAAUCCCACGGCUCAACCAUGGAAGUGCAUUCGAAACUACAGGGCUAGAGUUCUGGAGAGGAAGGUGGAAUGCUUGGUGUAGAGGUGAAAUUCGUAGAUAUCAAGCGGAACACCGGUGGCGAAGGCGGCCUUCUGGACAGUAACUGACGCUGAGACGCGAAAGCGUGGGGAGCAAACAGGAUUAGAUACCCUGGUAGUCCACGCCGUAAACGAUGAGUGCUAGGUGUCACGGGCUUUGACCCUCGUGGUGCCGAAGCUAACGCGUUAAGCACUCCGCCUGGGGAGUACGGUCGCAAGACUAAAACUCAAAGAAAUUGACGGGGGCCCGCACAAGCGGUGGAGCAUGUUGUUUAAUUCGACGCAACGCGUAGAACCUUACCUGGGCUAGAAAGUACAGGAAGUCGGUCGAAAGGUCGAUGUGCCCUUCGGGGAACCUGUGGUUAGGUGCUGCAUGGCUGUCGUCAGCUCGUGUCGUGAGAUGUUGGGUUAAGUCCCGCAACGAGCGCAACCCCUGUUGUUAGUUGCCAGCAUUAAGUUGGGCACUCUAACAAGACUGCCGACCUUUAAGUCGGAGGAAGGUGGGGAUGACG